AUCCUCACCUCGCAGGGGGAAUACUGUCAUUACAAAGUAGCUUUCCCAUGGAGAGGCUCAUCCACUGCUCUUUGGAUGUGCUCACUUCUGUGAUUUCUACAGAUGAGGCAAACUCAAGCACACCGUUUUGGUAGUGAAGCCUGCAUUCACACUUUCACC